GAGGGUAUAGCUCAGUGGUAGAGAGUGUGCCUAGCAUGCAAAAGGUUCUGGGUUCAAUUCCUAGCACCUCUU
rnacentral:tRNA from 1 species